rnacentral:rRNA from 1 species
AGCAGCCGCGGUAAUUCCAGCUCCAAUAGCGUAUAUUAAAGUUGUUGCAGUUAAAAAGCUCGUAGUUGAAUUUCGGGGUUCUACCGUUGGUCGGGCUUUGUCUGUACUGGCGUGUAGAAUUUCUACCUUCUGGGGAACCACCAUGUUAUUAAUUUAACGUGGUGGGAAACCAGGACCUUUACCUUGAAAAAAUUAGAGUGUUCAAAGCAGGCUUAUGUCUGAAUACAUUAGCAUGGAAUAAUAAAAUAGGACGGUGGUCCUGUUUUGUUGGUUUCUGAAUCACCGUAAUGAUUAAUAGGGAUAGUUGGGGGCAUUAGUAUUCAAUUGUCAGAGGUGAAAUUCUUGGAUUUAUUGAAGACUAACUUCUGCGAAAGCAUUUGCCAAGGAUGUUUUCAUUAAUCAAGAACGAAAGUUAGGGGAUCGAAGACGAUCAGAUACCGUCGUAGUCUUAACCAUAAACUAUGCCGACUAGGGAUCGGACGAUGUUAAAUUUUAUUGACUCG